UCAUCUUCCCUGUCUUGUUCCUGGGCGCAGAGGGCUCCUCCGGCGCCGCCGAGCUGCGCCCGCUGCCUUCACACCCCGGACAUCCGCGCCACACGGACCCAGACCCCAGGAGGCCUCACCCCACAGCAAGAGAAAGACCACGAGCAUGGACAUGAUGGUCGCGCUCACUCCGGUGCAGUGAGUGUCUGGGUGAUGGAUCCUAGAACCUGUUCUAGAAGGAGACGCUGAGUUCUCCCCACUCUACCUGGAGCUGCUGAGGUCAAGUGGAGAGUGCCGGGGCUGAAGCCCAGCGAGCCCCUCCCUGUCACACCACACUGCACAUGUGACACCAAAGGCAUUUAUUGAGCAUCUACUGUGUGCCAGAUGCAAAGAAGACAGUGGGAUAACUGGGCAAGGAGCAUUCCAGGCAGAGGGAACAGCCAGUGCAAACAUGGGAGAUGCGGGUGCAGUGAGAAGGAGCAGAGGAGACCAGGAGUUGAGGCGACUGCAGAGCGAUUGCAGAGCUCAUAGACGUGAUGAAGACCAGCUGGGCACUGCAGCGGCUCUGGCUUCUGCUGUGAGGGACGGGGAGCUGUGGAGACUCCCUCUGUUUGGUCCCAUUUCCAUAUUGCUGAGCACCUGCUGCAUGCUCUCUGUCCUGCUCAGAGCCAGUACCUGGAUGGAGGCUGUGUGUUCUGGGUGGACUGGGGGAGAAUGCAUUCUUUGCAGAAGAGACAACCAGGUGCUGAGGCCUGAAGUCAUAACCAGACCUGGGGCACUCAGACAAGGACUGGUGGCCAGGCCAGAGGAGCAGAGCUCAGGGUGUGCACAGAACUCAGAAGUCAGACCACUGAACAGUGACAGAACCUUUCAGCCCAUUGGCAAUGAGGCUGCCCAGGCAGCCAGAGGCCUGGUCAAAUCUGAGGUCUGCAGAGAUGGAGCUGUCAUUCUGUGUUUCCUUUGGCAGUCCCAACACCAGCCUCGUUGCACCCUCCUCUUAGCUUCCCUGGGUUCUCCAGCCCUAAGGGUGGUAGCAGCUUCCUGCAAGUAUCCAGCUCUGAGAUUCUGCAACAUCCACUUUUGCUCUCUGAGCCUUGCAAAACCUGCACAAUCAGUCCCUAACUUAUAUCCCCUCUGUUUGAAAUACCUAGUGUGGUUUCUAUUUCCUG
rnacentral:lncRNA from 1 species